CUUUGGUGGUCCGUGCUGACCACCCACAUUCACGAAGAGGUUUCCAUUUUCAAGGCAAACACCUGAGAAGUGGAUUAACCCCUCCCUGCUGCUUCCAGAAGUUUCCCCCACCCAACAGUUAGUUGUACCUAUUAACUUACCACAUACAUAUCAGGAGCAAGAAUAGGUCCCUCGUUAAUCAGCUCUGCUCUUUCUAUUUUCAAAACCCCUUUAAUUAAAAUCACCCAAAAGAUAAUGUGUAAUUAUGUAUUCAUCUUAUAAACUUCAAUCAAAAUCCAACACAGAGAGUUUCCAAAAUACAUCCAUCACUACAUGCUCAGCGCUGUCCACUGUUCUCUUUUCCAGUCACUUUGAUGAGGAUACCUGGGAAGCGAGUGUCCUGGGCCUUCUGGAAUAAUGCAGUUUCAACGCAUGCCCCAGAUGCUUCAAGCUUUGAAAGCCAGCUGUGAGCCACACGUGCCUGAACAGCUGAAUCUUGUGAAAUUGUGCCCUGGUUCAGGGCCCUGGGUGCUCAGCUGGUUUCCUUGUGCUGUGGUGUGUAGGACAUUUAAUUCCAUGGCCUGCAGAAGUGGUCAGAGGCUCUUGGGCCUUGGCUGCUCCCCGAUUCUCUUGCUUGCUUCUCACUGCACCUUGCGGGAGGCCACACGUAGUUUUUCUUCUUCCAUCUCUCAAGUUCUGACAUUUCUGCUUAAAGGCCCAAGGAAGAGAAGCUCGCGAUGUGGUCUCUCCCUGCCGUAAUAACUCCUAUCUAAG
rnacentral:lncRNA from 1 species